rnacentral:rRNA from 1 species
GUGGCUUCGGCUACCACUUACAGAUGGACCCGCGGCGCAUUAGCUAGUUGGUGAGGUAACGGCUCACCAAGGCGACGAUGCGUAGCCGACCUGAGAGGGUGAUCGGCCACACUGGGACUGAGACACGGCCCAGACUCCUACGGGAGGCAGCAGUAGGGAAUCUUCCGCAAUGGACGAAAGUCUGACGGAGCAACGCCGCGUGAGUGAUGAAGGUUUUCGGAUCGUAAAGCUCUGUUGUUAGGGAAGAACAAGUGCCGUUCAAAUAGGGCGGCACCUUGACGGUACCUAACCAGAAAGCCACGGCUAACUACGUGCCAGCAGCCGCGGUAAUACGUAGGUGGCAAGCGUUGUCCGGAAUUAUUGGGCGUAAAGGGCUCGCAGGCGGUUUCUUAAGUCUGAUGUGAAAGCCCCCGGCUCAACCGGGGAGGGUCAUUGGAAACUGGGGAACUUGAGUGCAGAAGAGGAGAGUGGAAUUCCACGUGUAGCGGUGAAAUGCGUAGAGAUGUGGAGGAACACCAGUGGCGAAGGCGACUCUCUGGUCUGUAACUGACGCUGAGGAGCGAAAGCGUGGGGAGCGAACAGGAUUAGAUACCCUGGUAGUCCACGCCGUAAACGAUGAGUGCUAAGUGUUAGGGGGUUUCCGCCCCUUAGUGCUGCAGCUAACGCAUUAAGCACUCCGCCUGGGGAGUACGGUCGCAAGACUGAAACUCAAAGGAAUUGACGGGGGCCCGCACAAGCGGUGGAGCAUGUGGUUUAAUUCGAAGCAACGCGAAGAACCUUACCAGGUCUUGACAUCCUCUGACAAUCCUAGAGAUAGGACGUCCCCUUCGGGGGCAGAGUGACAGGUGGUGCAUGGUUGUCGUCAGCUCGUGUCGUGAGAUGUUGGGUUAAGUCCCGCAACGAGCGCAACCCUUGAUCUUAGUUGCCAGCAUUCAGUUGGGCACUCUAAGGGGACUGCCGGUGACAAACCGGAAGAAGGGGGGGAUGACGUCAAAUCAUCAUGCC